ACUGAACCCAGCUGCUUCUCAUUGUGGGUCAAAUUGUGCUGGACUCCUUUGUUGCUCCUCUGACUUCUGGAUUGACCUGUCCUGUUGUUUGCUGGCAGGAAGCUGCACUGCGAAGGUGGAAUUGGCGAUUUGUUUACCUGGCAGCGUGGUAAUUCACCAGUCACAGCCAUCUGACGAGCCUCUGACCAGCUUUCAACAUGGAGUGACACUUGUUGCUGUUUUGCCAAGAAAGAAAUGUUUUAAAAAAGACUUAUCUGAACUUUUCCCCUGCUGUUAGGGGCAUCUGUGGCACAAUUAAUGGGAUGCAGUGCAAUAUUGUAGUGUCAUUGUAUCACUGUUUCUUAUAUGGUUCUAAUUUUGUUUCAUUUAGGGACUGAGGCUUCUGUGGUGGCGGUGGUGACCCCUGGUGGCGGUGUUUUUGUUGUGUGUUUUGGAGCUCCCUUUCCUUGUUUGCUGUGUUUUGUAGUGUCCAGGGUGGUCCCAUUUCUUCACUAGAUGUUGCCCCUCUUCUCACCACCUUCCUUUCCAUUGGUAAGCCUCGGUUCCCAUUGAGAUUUAAACAUUUGUAUAUUUUAUUUUUUUCAAUGCAUCCACUGUUUUAACCAUUCAAGUUUAGGUUACUGUUAAAUUAAAACCAUGUAACUUUAAUAAAAUU